GCGGAAGUGGCGGAACUGGCAGACGCACCAGCUUGAGGGGCUGGCGAUCGCAAGAUCGUGGGGGUUCGAAUCCCCCCUUCCGCACCA
rnacentral:tRNA from 2 species